GACGAACGCUGGCGGCGUGCUUAACACAUGCAAGUCGAACGGAAAGGCCCUGCUUUUGUGGGGUGCUCGAGUGGCGAACGGGUGAGUAACACGUGUGUAACCUGCCCUUUACUUUGGGAUAACUUCUGGUAACUGGGGCUAAUACCGGAUAUGAGCUCCUGCUGCUUGGUGGGGGUUGGAAUGUUUCGGCGGUUGGUGAUGGACUCGCGGCUUAUCAGCUUGUUUGUGGGGUAGUGGCUUACCAAUGCUUUGACGGGUAGCCGGCCUGUGAGGGUUACCGGCGACAUUGGGACUGAGAUACGGCCCAGACUGCAACGGGAGGCAGCAGGGGGGAAUAUGGCACAAGGGGCGGAAGCCUGAUGCAGAAACGCAGCGUGCGGGAUGACGGCCUUCGGGUUGUAAACCGAUUUCGCCUGUGACGAAGCGUGAGUGACGGUAAUGGGUAAAGAAGCACCGGCUAACUACGUG
rnacentral:rRNA from 1 species